rnacentral:rRNA from 1 species
UACGUAGGGAGCAAGCGUUGUUCGGAUUUAUUGGGCGUAAAGGGCGCGUAGGCGGCCACCGCAAGUCGACUGUGAAAUCUCCGGGCUUAACCCGGAAAGGUCAGCCGAUACUGCGGGGCUAGAGUGCAGAAGGGGCAACUGGAAUUCUCGGUGUAGCGGUGAAAUGCGUAGAUAUCGAGAGGAACACCUGCGGCGAAGGCGGGUUGCUGGGCUGACACUGACGCUGAGGCGCGAAAGCUAGGGGAGCGAACGGG